rnacentral:rRNA from 1 species
UACGGAAGGCAGCAGUAGGGAAUCUUCCGCAAUGGACGAAAGUCUGACGGAGCAACGCCGCGUGAACGAUGAAGGCUUUCGGGUCGUAAAGUUCUGUUGUUAGGGAAGACAAGUACCGGAGUAACUGCCGGUACCUUGACGGUACCUAACCAGAAAGCCACGGCUAACUACGUGCCAGCAGCCGCGGUAAUACGUAGGUGGCAAGCGUUGUCCGGAAUUAUUGGGCGUAAAGCGCGCGCAGGCGGUCCUUUUAAGUCUGAUGUGAAAGCCCACGGCUCAACCGUGGAGGGUCAUUGGAAACUGGGGACUUUGAGUGCAGAAGAGGAGAGUGGAAUUCCGACGUGUAGCGGUGAAAUGCGUAGAGAUGUGGAGGAACACCAGGUGGCGAAGGCGACUCUCUGGUCUGUAACUGACGCUGAGGCGCGAAAGCGUGGGGAGCGGAACAGGGAUUAGAUACCCG